AGAGAGAGAGAGAGAGAGACGGACGAGAGCGAUGACGGUAACGACAGAGGGGAAUGGAAACGCAAGUGAAAUCUGCAGACUGUUGACUGCCGUUAACGGCGACAUUACGCGAAGCGGCAGUCUCGCCUGGUAAGGUUGCAUUUGCUUACAUAACCAACGACUCCUGGGAUUUGCGUAUUACGUGUUAAGGGGACAUUGCCUAUUGGAGUGAAUAAACAGCGGCGGCGACGCUGCCAGUGACGCGCCUCGAAAUAGAUGGUGGUGGCGUUGAAGACGGCUAACGCGAGGGAGGGGGUGAAGACUCGUCAAGCCUUCGAGGUAAACAAAGCGAGCGUGUGCGCUAGUAUAUAUUAUUUUGUUGUUCGGUUCUUGCGUUUAUUUUCUAUUUUAUUGUUAUUUACUGAUACGGUACAUUUUAAAACUCUAGUCAUAUUUAUUAAUUUUACUAGUCACUAUUGUUAGUAGUGAUAUCGAAGUUUCAAGCACAAAGAGCUAAUAAAAGCAAUAAAAAAAAAUGGGAAAAAGGUGUGCAAGUGCAUGAGUGAGUGCCGUGCCGGUAUUAACUAGUGCACCUAGUGUUUCCGUCUUCUUGUUUAAUUGAAAGUGAAAUGCGUGUCAUGGUUUUAAGCGCGCACGAGGUUCCUCAAGUUGCUGUUGCUACUACCAUUAUAAAUGCUGGUUGCACUACAUAAUGGAGUAACAAGUGAAGAGCGUAAGCGGCGUUGCCAUGACGACAGAUGAAGCUGAGAAACAGACGGAGCAAUAUCGAUUUUUUUUAUCGGUCAAAAUAACAGAACACCAUACUAGAAUUCAGUCAAUUUUACGUCCGAUUGCUCUGUAGCAAGUAUUGCUAGUGACCUUGCAGUUCGCAUUUAAUAUUUUUGACUUGUAUACUUUCAUAGUGCUGAGAAACGCGAAAGAUCUGACAACGUAAUAUAAGCAAGAACAUAUAUACUUUGCACAGAUUUGGAUCGAAGUGAAUGGAAAAUGAGCUAAUUGCGAGAGGCUAUGCUAAGAGCGAGCAUUCUAAAAGAGUACGUGUAUCAAUAUAGAUAUAAUCCACUUAGAAUAAUUCAAGCUUAUGUCUUCUCAAGUAAAAUACCUGGUUUACACUCUCGUGUUGCUUCGAAUAAUAGAGAAAAACAGUAAUUAAGCAUCCAAUUAAAGUACCUAAUCAGAGAAAAUAAAGAUUCGAG